GAUGUACUCCCUCCGUUCCGAAUUACUUGUCUUAGAUUUGUCUAGAUACGGAUGUAUCUAGCACUAAAAUGAGUCUAGAUACAUCCGUAUCUAGACAAAUCCAAGACAAGUAAUUCAGAACGGAGGGAGUACAUC
rnacentral:pre_miRNA from 1 species